UAACAACUAGCUUUAGAUACGAGUGAACGCGUAUAACUUUAAAGCUCUUACGCGGAUCAUCUAAAUAUUAUAUGGUAUAAACAAUUAAGAACAAUAUUAUACACUCAUGCUAUACAAUAAGAUAUCAGAUAGUUGGAAUAGUCUUGGUUCUAGAUAGUAUGAACCAGUAUUAGCGUUAUCAAUAUUUCAAUCUUCUAUAAACUAAAAAUAACUCAUUAGAUCAAAGCUACUUCAUGUGAAAUGUGAUUAUUAGUUUCUUCAGUGUUCAAGUUGAAAAUAUAUACAAAUCCCAGCUGAAACGGAAAAUAGAAAAAAAAAUAUUAUUUAAAACUAAAAAAUCCGAACCAUAUCAAAAAUAUUGUCGAACUAAUUAAUCCUUAAAAUUUUCUUGAAAAUCUAAACAGAUAUUUAGCCAAGAGCCCAAGAUGUGGCUAAGUGAAAAAUAAAAACAAAAAGUGAAAUAAGAGGAAUUGCGUGUAAGAAUCACGGUAUAUUAAGUGGAGAAUUCAUCUUACAAUAGAGGAUAACAUCUUUAAUCUUCUCAUCCCUUUCUUCGUCUACCAUCGGACCACUAACGAAAACAUUGGAAGGAGAUGAUUUUAUGGAGUGAACCAAGCUGCUCCUCCGUGACAGUGUCUUUGAUCUUUCCCGUUGAUCGCCUUCAGCUGUCGCGUUGAAGCACAUAACCAGCCGCAUAAACGUUUUAAUGAAUCCAAAGCUUCUUCCAUUUUUUUUUGGUUGUGACGACAUUGUUAAGAGAUUGAAAAUACGCGUACAGAAAGGGGUGUGAUGGAGAUGUAAAAUAAAGAAGAUUUACGUUUUCUUUUUCUCUGGUUAGUUUCCUAUAGAUUUGGAAUAAAAAUGACUAUAUAUAAGCAUAAAAUAAAUUAUAAUUUUGUUGUUUGAUUUUUGGCUUUUUUUUUGUUUCUAACCUAAAAGAGUUAAAUAUCUGCUGCAAAAUCACAGCGUUUUCCCUUAUUUGAAAUUAGCUCAUUAAUAUAUUUUCUUUUUUUGGUCAAGUUUUUUUAAUUAAUGUUACGACUAAAUCUGAGUAUUCAAAUAUUGUUACCACUUUUUU
rnacentral:lncRNA from 1 species